CGUGCAUAUGAGGGCAACACCUGCCCAACUAUCCGUGGUCGUGUUCUCGGCGGCGGAAGCGUCAUCAACGCCAUGCAGUUUGUUCGGGCCAACCGGCACGAUUACGACGACUGGGCAGCCAACGGAGCCGAAGGUUGGGCAUACGAAGAUGUGCUCCCUUACUUCAAAUCAAUUGAACGCUUCGAAAUUGAACAAUUCUACAAUGAAGAGUACCAUAGCAAAGCUGGAGAGGUUCCGGACAACUACGUGCCC